rnacentral:rRNA from 1 species
UACGUGGGGGGCGAGCGUUGUCCGGAAUCACUGGGCGUAAAGCGCGCGUAGGCGGCUAGUUAAGUCGGUUGUGAAAUCUCCAGGGCUCAACCCGGAAAUUGCUGCCGAUACUGGCCAGCUUGAGAGAUGAAGGGGUAAGUAGAAUUCCUGGUGUAGCGGUGAAAUGCAUUGAUAUCAGGAGGAAUACCCGUAGCGAAGGCGGCUUACUGGGCAUCUUCUGACACUGAGGCGCGAAAGCAGGGGGAGCAAACGGG